GACGAACGCUGGCGGCGUGCCUAACACAUGCAAGUCGAACGGGGUCCAUGGGAGCUUGCUCCCGGAAGACCUAGUGGCGAACGGGUGAGUAACACGUGAGAAACCUGCCCUGGAGUGGGGAAUAACUCGGGGAAACUCGAGCUAAUACCGCAUACCCUCGGAUGGUCGCAUGGCCGACCGAGGAAAGAUUUAUCGCUUCAGGAGGGUCUCGCGGCCUAUCAGCUAGUUGGUGGGGUAACGGCCUACCAAGGCAACGACGGGUAGCUGGUUUGAGAGAACGAUCAGCCACACUGGGACUGAGACACGGCCCAGACUCCUACGGGAGGCAGCAGUGGGGAAUCUUGCGCAAUGGGCGAAAGCCUGACGCAGCAACGCCGCGUGCGGGAUGACGGCCUCGUGGUUGUAA
rnacentral:rRNA from 1 species